CGGGGUGGAGUAACGCGUGGAUAACCUGCCUCACACUGGGGGAUAACAGUUAGAAAUGACUGCUAAUACCGCAUAAGCGCACAGUACCGCAUGGUACAGUGUGAAAAACUCCGGUGGUGUGAGAUGGAUCCGCGUCUGAUUAGCCAGUUGGCGGGGUAACGGCCCACCAAAGCGACGAUCAGUAGCCGACCUGAGAGGGUGACCGGCCACAUUGGAACUGAGACACGGUCCAA
rnacentral:rRNA from 1 species